AUUGAACGCUGGCGGCAGGCUUAACACAUGCAAGUCGAGCGGGGUGAUGGUGCUUGCACUAUCUCUUAGCGGCGGACGGGUGAGUAAUGCUUAGGAAUCUGCCUAUCAGUGGGGGACAACAUCUCGAAAGGGAUGCUAAUACCGCAUACGUCCUACGGGAGAAAGCAGGGGAUCACUUGUGACCUUGCGCUAAUAGAUGAGCCUAAGUCGGAUUAGCUAGUUGGUGGGGUAAAGGCCUACCAAGGCGACGAUCUGUAGCGGGUCUGAGAGGAUGAUCCGCCACACUGGGACUGAGACACGGCCCAGACUCCUACGGGAGGCAGCAGUGGGGAAUAUUGGACAAUGGGGGGAACCCUGAUCCAGCCAUGCCGCGUGUGUGAAGAAGGCCUUAUGGUUGUAAAGCACUUUAAGCGAGGAGGAGGCUCUUUUGGUUAAUACCCAAGAUGAGUGGACGUUACUCGCAGAAUAAGCACCGGCUAACUCUGUGCCAGCCGCCGCAGUAA
rnacentral:rRNA from 1 species